GGGGGGGGGGGGGGGGGGGGGGGGGGGGGGGGGGGCGGGGGGGGGGGGGCGGGGUGGGGGGGGGGGUCGUGGGGCGGGGGGGGGGGUGACUGGGGAGGAAGCGGCCCGUUAGUGGGGGAGAAGGUCGGGACACUGGGGGGAAUGCGGGAGCGGAGCUACUUGUGGAGGGUGUGGGGUGGAGGGGUCAGGAUGUUGGCGAUGGACUAUGGGCUAAUCCGAGUGUUGGUGGGGUAUGGGCUUGCCAAGGCUGUGACGGGUAGCCGGACUGCGAGCGUGAACGGCCACAUUGGGACUGAGAUACGGCCCAGACUCCUACGGGACGCAGCAGUGGGGAAUAGUGCACAAUGGGCCGAAGCCUGAUGCAGCAACGCCGCGUGCGGGAUGACGGCCUUCGGGUUGUAAACCGCUUUCGCCUGUGAAGAAGCGUGAGUGACGGUAAUGGGUAAAGAAGCACCGGCUAACUACGUG
rnacentral:rRNA from 1 species